UGGGGAAUUUUGGACAAUGGGGGCAACCCUGAUCCAGCAAUGCCGCGUGUGUGAAGAAGGCCUUCGGGUUGUAAAGCACUUUUGUCCGGAAAGAAAACGUCGUGGUUAAUACCCGCGGCGGCUGACGGUACCGGAAGAAUAAGCACCGGCUAACUACGUGCCAGCAGCCGCGGUAAUACGUAGGGUGCAAGCGUUAAUCGGAAUUACUGGGCGUAAAGCGUGCGCAGGCGGUCCGCUAAGACAGAUGUGAAAUCCCCGGGCUUAACCUGGGAACUGCAUUUGUGACUGGCGGGCUAGAGUAUGGCAGAGGGGGGUAGAAUUCCACGUGUAGCAGUGAAAUGCGUAGAGAUGUGGAGGAAUACCGAUGGCGAAGGCAGCCCCCUGGGCCAAUACUGACGCUCAUGCACGAAAGCGUGGGGAGCAAACAGGAUUAGAUACCCUGGUAGUCCACGCCCUAAACGAUGUCAACUAGUUGUCGGGUCUUCAUUGACUUGGUAACGUAGCUAACGCGUGAAGUUGACCGCCUGGGGAGUACGGUCGCAAGAUUAAAAACUCAAAUGAAUUGACGGGGUCAUAGCUGUUUCCUG
rnacentral:rRNA from 1 species